UCAUUGGUGGUUCAGUGGUAGAAUCCUCGCCUUCCAUGCAGGAGACCUGGCUUCAUUUCCCAGCCAGUGCA
rnacentral:tRNA from 1 species